rnacentral:rRNA from 1 species
CCUACGGGUGGCAGCAGUCGAGAAUCAUUCACAAUGGGGGAAACCCUGAUGGUGCGACGCCGCGUGGGGGAAUGAAGGUCUUCGGAUUGUAAACCCCUGUCAUGUGGGAGCAAAUUAAAAAGAUAGUACCACAAGAGGAAGAGACGGCUAACUCUGUGCCAGCAGCCGCGGUAAUACAGAGGUCUCAAGCGUUGUUCGGAAUCACUGGGCGUAAGGGGUGCGGAGGCUGUUGCGUAAGUCGUGUGUGAAAGGCGCGGGCUCAACCCGCGGACGGCACAUGAUACUGCGAGGCUAGAGUAAGGGAGGGGGAAGCGGAAUGCUCGGUGUAGCAGUGAAAUGCGUAGAGAUCGAGAGGAACACUCGUGGCGAAGGCGGGUUCCUGGACAGUAACUGACGCUGAGGCACGAAGGCCAGGGGAGCGAAAGGGAUUAGAUACCCUUGUAGUC